UACGGUGUUAGCGCAGAGUUGCCUGUGGAGCGCGCAAUAUACCUGCGCGAUGGCGGAGUACAAAGCUAUUUUGAGUGCGAAUCCUGACUCUGUGC
rnacentral:tRNA from 1 species